CCCUUAGAUGUUCUGGGCCGCACGCGUGCUACACUGAGUGGAUCAGCGGGUCAGGUUGCGCGAAAGCGUUUCCUAAUCUUUAAAUCCGCUCGUGAUGGGGAUUGACGGUUGCAAUUUUCUGUCAUGAACGAGGAAUACCUUGUAAGCGCGGGUCAUCAUCCCGCGCUGAAUACGUCCCUGCCCUUUGUACACACCGCCCGUCGCUCCUACCGAUUGAGUGGUCCGGUGAGGCUUUGGGAUCUGAGCGGAAAGAGCGUUUCGCUGUUUCUGCUCGGAAAACUCAGUCGAACCUUAUCAUUUAGAGGAAGGAGAAGUUGUAACA
rnacentral:rRNA from 1 species